rnacentral:rRNA from 1 species
CCUACGGGUGGCAGCAGUGGGGAAUAUUGGACAAUGGGCGAAAGCCUGAUCCAGCCAUGCCGCGUGUGUGAAGAAGGCCUUCGGGUUGUAAAGCACUUUCAGUGGGGAAGAAAGCCUUGGGGCUAAUACCCUCGAGGAAGGACAUCACCCACAGAAGAAGCACCGGCUAACUCCGUGCCAGCAGCCGCGGUAAUACGGAGGGUGCGAGCGUUAAUCGGAAUUACUGGGCGUAAAGCGCGCGUAGGCGGUCUGAUAAGCCGGUUGUGAAAGCCCCGGGCUCAACCUGGGAACGGCAUCCGGAACUGACAGGCUAGAGUGCAGGAGAGGAAGGUAGAAUUCCAGGUGUAGCGGUGAAAUGCGUAGAGAUCGGGAGGAAUACCAGUGGCGAAGGCGGCCUUCUGGACUGACACUGACGCUGAGGUGCGAAAGCGUGGGUAGCAAACAGGAUUAGAUACCCCAGUAGUC